UACGUAGGGGCGAGCGUUGUCCGGAUUUAUUGGGCGUAAAGAGCGUGUAGGCGGCCAGAUAAGUCCGGUGUGAAAGUCACAGGCUCAACCUGUGAAUGCCGCUGGAAACUGUCUGGCUAGAGUCCGGAAGGGGCGAGUGGAAUUCCUGGUGUAGCGGUGAAAUGCGCAGAUAUCAGGAGGAACACCAAUGGCGAAGGCAGCUCGCUGGGACGGUACUGACGCUGGAGGCGCGAAAGCGUGGGGAGCGAACAGG
rnacentral:rRNA from 1 species